AGAGUUUGAUCAUGGCUCAGAUUGAACGCUGGCGGCAGGCCUAACACAUGCAAGUCGAGCGGUAGCACAGAGAGCUUGCUCUCGGGUGACGAGCGGCGGACGGGUGAGUAAUGUCUGGGAAACUGCCUGAUGGAGGGGGAUAACUACUGGAAACGGUAGCUAAUACCGCAUAACGUCGCAAGACCAAAGUGGGGGACCUUCGGGCCUCAUGCCAUCAGAUGUGCCCAGAUGGGAUUAGCUGGUAGGUGGGGUAACGGCUCACCUAGGCGACGAUCCCUAGCUGGUCUGAGAGGAUGACCAGCCACACUGGAACUGAGACACGGUCCAGACUCCUACGGGAGGCAGCAGUGGGGAAUAUUGCACAAUGGGCGCAAGCCUGAUGCAGCCAUGCCGCGUGUGUGAAGAAGGCCUUCGGGUUGUAAAGCACUUUCAGCGGGGAGGAAGGCGGUGAGGUUAAUAACCUCAUCGAUUGACGUUACCCGCAGAAGAAGCACCGGCUAACUCCGUGCCAGCAGCCGCGGUAAUACGGAGGGUGCAAGCGUUAAUCGGAAUUACUGGGCGUAAAGCGCACGCAGGCGGUCUGUCAAGUCGGAUGUGAAAUCCCCGGGCUCAACCUGGGAACUGCAUUCGAAACUGGCAGGCUAGAGUCUUGUAGAGGGGGGUAGAAUUCCAGGUGUAGCGGUGAAAUGCGUAGAGAUCUGGAGGAAUACCGGUGGCGAAGGCGGCCCCCUGGACAAAGACUGACGCUCAGGUGCGAAAGCGUGGGGAGCAAACAGGAUUAGAUACCCUGGUAGUCCACGCUGUAAACGAUGUCGAUUUGGAGGUUGUGCCCUUGAGGCGUGGCUUCCGGAGCUAACGCGUUAAAUCGACCGCCUGGGGAGUACGGCCGCAAGGUUAAAACUCAAAUGAAUUGACGGGGGCCCGCACAAGCGGUGGAGCAUGUGGUUUAAUUCGAUGCAACGCGAAGAACCUUACCUGGUCUUGACAUCCACAGAACUUAGCAGAGAUGCUUUGGUGCCUUCGGGAACUGUGAGACAGGUGCUGCAUGGCUGUCGUCAGCUCGUGUUGUGAAAUGUUGGGUUAAGUCCCGCAACGAGCGCAACCCUUAUCCUUUGUUGCCAGCGGUCCGGCCGGGAACUCAAAGGAGACUGCCAGUGAUAAACUGGAGGAAGGUGGGGAUGACGUCAAGUCAUCAUGGCCCUUACGACCAGGGCUACACACGUGCUACAAUGGCAUAUACAAAGAGAAGCGACCUCGCGAGAGCAAGCGGACCUCAUAAAGUAUGUCGUAGUCCGGAUUGGAGUCUGCAACUCGACUCCAUGAAGUCGGAAUCGCUAGUAAUCGUAGAUCAGAAUGCUACGGUGAAUACGUUCCCGGGCCUUGUACACACCGCCCGUCACACCAUGGGAGUGGGUUGCAAAAGAAGUAGGUAGCUUAACCUUCGGGAGGGCGCUUACCACUUUGUGAUUCAUGACUGGGGUGAAGUCGUAACAAGGUAACCGUAGGGGAACCUGCGGUUGGAUCACCU
rnacentral:rRNA from 2 species